GGAUGGCCGUCAUGGCGCCCCGAACUCUCUCCUGCUACUCUCGGGGGCCCUGGCCCUGACCCAGACCUGGGCGGGCUCCCACUCCAUGAGGUAUUUCUCCACAUCGGUGUCCCGGCCCGGCCGCGGGGAGCCCCGCUUCAUCGCCGUGGGCUACGUGGACGACACGCAGUUCGUGCGGUUCGACAGCGACGCCGCGAGCCAGAGGAUGGAGCCGCGGGCACCGUGGAUAGAGCAGGAGGGUCCGGAGUAUUGGGACCGGGAGACACGGAGUGUGAAGGCCGGCGCACAGAUCUACCGAGCGAACCUGGGGACCCUGCGCGGCUACUACAACCAGAGCGAGGACGGUGAGUGACCCCGGCCCGGGGCACAGGUCACGACCCCUCAUCCCCCACGGACGGGCCGGGUCGCCCACAGUCUCCGGGUCCGAGAUCCACCCCGAAGCCGCGGGACCCCGAGACCCUUGCCCCGGGAGAGGCCCAGGCGCCUUAAUCCGGUUUCAUUUUCAGUUUAGGCCAAAAAUCCCCCCGGGUUGGUCGGGGCCGGGCGGGGCUCGGGGAACAGGGCUGACCGCGGGGUCGGGGCCAGGUUCUCACACCAUCCAGAUAAUGUAUGGCUGCGACGUGGGGUCGGACGGGCGCUUCCUCCGCGGGUAUGAACAGCUCGCCUACGACGGCAAGGAUUACAUCGCCCUGAACGAGGACCUGCGCUCUUGGACCGCGGCGGACAUGGCAGCUCAGAUCACCCAGCGCAAGUGGGAGGCGGUCCAUGCGGCGGAGCAGCAGAGAGCCUACCUGGAGGGCCGGUGCGUGGAGUCGCUCCGCAGAUACCUGGAGAACGGGAAGGAGACGCUGCAGCGCACGGACCCCCCCAAGACACAUAUGACCCACCACCCCAUCUCCGACCAUGAGGCCACCCUGAGGUGCUGGGCCCUGGGCUUCUACCCUGCGGAGAUCACACUGACCUGGCAGCGGGAUGGGGAGGACCAGACCCAGGACACGGAGCUCGUGGAGACCAGGCCUGCAGGGGAUGGAACCUUCCAGAAGUGGGCGGCUGUGGUGGUACCUUCUGGAGAGGAGCAGAGAUACACCUGCCAUGUGCAGCAUGAGGGUCUGCCCAAGCCCCUCACCCUGAGAUGGGAGCCGUCUUCCCAGCCCACCAUCCCCAUCGUGGGCAUCAUUGCUGGCCUGGUUCUCCUUGGAGCUGUGAUCACUGGAGCUGUGGUCGCUGCCGUGAUGUGGAGGAGGAAGAGCUCAGAAAAGGAGGGAGCUACUCUCAGGCUGCAAGCAGUGACAGUGCCCAGGGCUCUGAUGUGUCUCUCACAGCUUGUAAAGUGUGAGACAGCUGCCUUGUGUGGGACUGAGAGGCAAGAGUUGUUCCUGCCCUUCCCUUUGUGACUUGAAGAACCCUGACUUUGUUUCUGCAAAGGCACCUGCAUGUGUCUGUGUUCUUGUAGGCAUAAUGUGAGGAGGUGGGGAGACCACCCCACCCCCAUGUCCACCAUGACCCUCUUCCCAGGCUGACCUGUGCUCCCUCCCCAAUCAUCUUUCCUGUUCCAGAGAGGUGGGGCUGAGGUGUCUCCAUCUCUGUCUCAACUUCAUGGUGCACUGAGCUGUAACUUCUUCCUUCCCUAUUAAAAUUAGAACCUGAGUAUAAAUUUACUUUCUCAAAUUCUUGCCAUGAGAGGUUGAUGAGUUAAUUAAAGGAGAAGAUUCCUAAAAUUUGAGAGACAAAAUAAAUGGAACACAUGAGAACCUUCCAGAGUCCA
rnacentral:sRNA from 1 species